AGAGCGGUAGCCCGGAGAUGGGCACUGAGACAAGGGCCCAGGCCCUACGGGGCGCAGCAGGCGCGAAACCUCCACAAUGCACGCAAGUGUGACGGGGCUACCCCGAGUGCCAUCCGCUGAGGAAGGCUUUUCCUUGGUGUAACUAGCCGGGGGAAUAAGGAGAGGGCA
rnacentral:rRNA from 1 species